GGGCACCUGAGGUCAUCCCCUAUUUUUGUUGGCAUUCGUGUUGGUAAGUUUUGUUUUUGUUUUCUAUGUUAUGUUUUGUGUACUGUUGUUUGUCUUUGUCUUUUUUACUAUGUCGUAGUCAAUUUAUUUUCGAUUUAUGAGUGUGUAUGUCCCUCUUGUAUCUUUCGCCCCUCUUUUAUUACUAACAGCUUCAUCUGCUAUAGUAGUCAUACUAAUGUUUAGCUGUUUCAUGAAGAU
rnacentral:lncRNA from 1 species